rnacentral:rRNA from 1 species
AGCAGCCGCGGUAAUUCCAGCUCCAAUAGCGUAUAUUAAAGUUGUUGCAGUUAAAAAGCUCGUAGUUGAAUUUCGGGAUUGGCGCAUCGGUCAUGCCUUCCGACUUACGGAGUUAUGAACUGGUGCAGUCAAUUUCUCACCUUCUGGAGAACCGCGAUGUCCUUAAUUGGGUGCCGCGGGGAACCAGGACCUUUACUUUGAAAAAAUUAGAGUGUUUAAAGCAGGCAUUUUUGCUUGAAUACAUUAGCAUGGAAUAAUAAAAUAGGACGGCAUGGUUCUAUUUUGUUGGUUUCUAGGACCACCGUAAUGAUUAAUAGGGAUAGUUGGGGGCAUUAGUAUUCAAUUGUCAGAGGUGAAAUUCUUGGAUUUAUUGAAGACUAACUACUGCGAAAGCAUUUGCCAAGGAUGUUUUCAUUAAUCAAGAACGAAAGUUAGGGGAUCGAAGACGAUCAGAUACCGUCGUAGUCUUAACCAUAAACUAUGCCGACUAGGAAUCAGACGAUGUUAAUUUUUUAAUGACUCGUUUGGCACCUUACG